UACGUAGGGGGCUAGCGUUGUCCGGAAUCAUUGGGCGUAAAGAGCGUGUAGGCGGUCCGGUAAGUCCGCUGUGAAAGUCGGGGGCUCAACCCUCGAAUGCCGGUGGAUACUGUCGGGCUAGAGUGCGGAAGAGGCGAGUGGAAUUCCUGGUGUAGCGGUGAAAUGCGCAGAUAUCAGGAGGACCACCACCGGCGAAUGCGGCGCUCUGGGCUGGACCUGACGCUGAGGAGCGCAAUCGUGGGGAGCGAACAGG
rnacentral:rRNA from 1 species